UCAUACCGAACUAAAGUAGGGAAAUGUGUGAGCCGGCUGCCGAGAAAAGCCGCUAUUGUUUGUACUGUACCCGUACCGUAAACCGACACAGGUGGAUGAGGAGAGAAUCCUAAGGCCGACGGAAGAAGCAUUGCUAAGGAACUCGGCAAAAUGACCCUGUAACUUCGGGAGAAAGGGUGCCUCGAAAGAGGCCGCAGAGAAUAGGCCCAAGCAACUGUUUAGCAAAAACACAGGUCUAUGCAAACCGCAAGGUGAAGUAUAUGGGCUGACGCCUGCCCGGUGCUGGAAGGUUAAGGGGAGAUGUCAGGAGACGAAGCAUCGAACUUAAGCCCCAGUAAACGGCGGCCGUAACAAUAACGGUCCUAAGGUAGCGAAAUUCCUUGUCGGGUAAGUUCCGACCCGCACGAAAGGCGUAAUGAUUUGGGCGCUGUCUCGGCAAUGCAUCCGGUGAAAUUGAAGUGCCAGUGAAGAUGCUGGCUACCCGCGCCAGGACGGAAAGACCCCAUGGAGCUUUACUCCAGCUUGAUACUGGGAUUCGGUAUUGUAUGUACAGGAUAGGUGGGAGGCUGAGAAAUGGUGACGCCAGUCGCCAUGGAGCCGCUGUUGGGAUACCACCCUUGCAGUACUGGAUUUCUAACCAGCAGCCGUGAUCCGGCUGGGGGACAAUGUCAGGUGGGGAGUUUGACUGGGGCGGUCGCCUCCGAAAGGGUAUCGGAGGCGCUCAAAGGUUCCCUCAGAAUGGUCGGAAACCAUUCGAAGAGUGCAAAGGCAGAAGGGAGCUUGACUGCGACACCGACGGGUGGGGCAGGUACGAAAGUAGGACUUAGUGAUCCGGUGGUAUUAAGUGGGAAUGCCAUCGCUCAACGGAUAAAAGCUACCCUGGGAUAACAGGCUUAUCACUCCCAAGAGUUCACAUCGACGGAGUGGUUUGGCACCUCGAUGUCGGCUCAUCGCAUCCUGGGGCUGUAGUAGGUCCCAAGGGUUGGGCUGUUCGCCCAUUAAGCGGUGCGCGAGCUGGGUUCAGAACGUCGUGAGACAGUUCGGUCCCUAUCCGGCGUGGGCGUAGGAUAUUUGAGAGGAGCUGACCUUAGUACGAGAGGACCGGGUUGGACUGACCUCUGGUGCACCGGUUGUCAUGCCAAUGGCACAGCCGGGUAGCCAAGUCGGGAAGGGAUAAACGCUGAAGGCACCUAAGCGUGAAGCCCCCCUCAAGAUGAGAUAUCCCCCGCAUAAGCGGUAAGACCCCUUGAAGACGACGAGGUAGAUAGGGCAGAGGUGGAAGUGCAGUAAUGUAUGGAGCUGACUGCUACUAAUAGGUCGAAGGCU
rnacentral:rRNA from 1 species